GUACACUGGCUUUACUGAUUCCUCCUUCUUGAAGAACUGUAAUGUCAUUAAUUUGGUGUUGCAGGGAAACAGGACUGUUACUUUGAAAAAAUUAGAGUGUUUAAAGCAGGCUAACGCUUGAAUACAUUAGCAUGGAAUAAUGAAAUAGGACGUUCGAUCCUAUUUUGUUGGUUUCUAGGAUUGACGUAAUGAUUAAUAGGGAUAGUUGGGGGCAUUAGUAUUCAAUUGUCAGAGGUGAAAUUCUUGGAUUUAUUGAAGACUAACUACUGCGAAAGCAUUUGCCAAGGAUGUUUUCAUUAAUCAAGAACGAAAGUUAGGGGAUCGAAGACGAUCAGAUACCGUCGUAGUCUUAACCAUAAACUAUGCCGACUAGGGAUCGGAUGAUGUUAAUUUUUUAAUGACUCAUUCGGCGCCUUACG
rnacentral:rRNA from 1 species